AUGGCAGGAAUGUCGGCAUUUAGAGUGUAUUUCGGUGAAGAUCCGGGUAUAUAUAGUGUUAACGUGAGGGUUAUGUGGAGCCGAUCGGCCAACAAAAUAAGAUGGGAGUUAAAAAAUGUGACACGGAGUAAGGCCUGGCAGGAUUGGCUCGCUGGCUAUAGGAGACGGGGAUAUGAAUAUGUCAUGCUGGUGCAAGCAUGUCAAGGAAGAGUCCCCACGGAGAACGCAGCGGUGCAAUCCAGCAACCGUGAGGAGUUGGGGUCUAGUUCACACGAAGAAGAUGAAGUUGUAGCUCCCCAUCGUGGUGGCGAUGUUGGUCCUGACAUUCAAAAUCUAUCCAUACAAGGAGAUGAAGUGGUCAACCGCCAUCCUACUGGUGAAGCCGAUGAAGGGGAGGACAUACCUGCUAUAGCUGAAGAAAUUGAGAAGGUGGACCGACAUGCAGUCGAAGAUGAGGAAAACCUCGCUGCUGAAGAGAAUGAUGACGAAGAUGAACAAGAAGUUGAGGAACUACCUAUGCCUGCUUCGUGGAACCUUGAAGACCCU
rnacentral:lncRNA from 1 species